ACGUGGGCAACCUGCCUGUAAGACUGGGAUCUCAAACUAGGAACCAUGUCUUGCUUGCGAAUAACCCGUUCCACCUAUGGUGGAGCGGUAAAAGAUGGCCUCUGGCUAUCACUUACAGAUGGGCCCGCGGCGCAUUAGCUAGUUGGUAAGGUAACGGCUUACCAAGGCGACGAUGCGUAGCCGACCUGAGAGGGUGAUCGGCCACACUGGGACUGAGACACGGCCCAGAUCUACGGGAGGCAGCAGUGGGAAUCUUCCGCAAUGGACGAAAGUCUGACGGAGCAACGCCGCGUGAGUGAUGAAGGUUUUCGGAUCGUAAAGCUCUGUUGUUAGGGAAGAACAAGUGCCGUUUGAAUAAGGCGGCACCUUGACGGUACCUAACCAGAAAGCACGGCUAACUACGUGCCAGCAGCCGCGGUAAUACGUAGGUGGCAAGCGUUGUCCGGAAUUAUUGGGCGUAAAGCGCGCGCAGGCGGUCUCUUAGUCUGAUGUGAAAGCCCACGGCUCAACCGUGGAGGGUCAUUGGAAACUGGGAGACUUGAGUACAGAAGAGGAGAGUGGAAUUCCACGUGUAGCGGUGAAAUGCGUAGAUAUGUGGAGGAACACCAGUGGCGAAGGCGACUCUCUGGUCUGUAACUGACGCUGAGGCGCGAAAGCGUGGGGAGCAAACAGGAUUAGAUACCCUGGUAGUCCACGCCGUAAACGAUGAGUGCUAGGUGUUAGGGUUCGAUGCCCUUAGUGCCGAAGUUACACAUUAAGCACUCCGCCUGGGGAGUACGACCGCAAGGUUGAAACUCAAAGGAAUUGACGGGGGCCCGCACAAGCAGUGGAGCAUGUGGUUUAAUUCGAAGCAACGCGAAGAACCUUACCAGGUCUUGACAUCCUUUGACCACUCUAGAGAUAGAGCUUUCCCCUUCGGGGGACAAAGUGACAGGUGUGCAUGGUUGUCGCAGCUGUGUCGUGAGAUGUUGGGUUAAGUCCCGCAACGAGCGCAACCCUUGAUCUUAGUUGCCAGCAUUCAGUUGGGCACUCUAAGGUGACUGCCGGUGACAAACCGGAGGAAGGUGGGGAUGACGUCAAACAUCAUGCCCCUUAUGACCUGGGCUAACACGUGCUACAAUGGAUGGUACAAAGGGCUGCAAAACCGCGAGGUUGAGCGAAUCCCAUAAAGCCAUUCUCAGUUCGG
rnacentral:rRNA from 2 species